UGAGUAACACGUUGGAACCUGCCCCAAAGUGAGGAAUAAGCCACCGAAAGGUGGUCUAAUACUUCAUAAUAUCCAUCUCGUAUGGAUUAAAGCUUUAUGCGCUUUGGAGGGGCCUGCGUAACAUUAGCUUGUUGGUGAGGUAAAAGCUCACCAAGGCUUCGAUGUUUAACUGGUUUGAGAGGAUGACCAGUCACACUGGGACUGAGAUACGGCCCAGACUCCUACGGGAGGCAGCAGUAAGGAAUCUUCCACAAUGGGGCAACCCUGAUGGAGCAAUACCGCGUGCAGGAUGAAGCGUUUCGGCGUGUAAACUGCUUUUAUCACCGAAGAUUAUGACUGUAGGUGAAGAAUAAGGACCGGCUAACUACGUG
rnacentral:rRNA from 1 species